UCCCACCAGUGGCUAAGUGAGGUCACAUCCCACCAGUGGCUAAGUGAGGUCACAUCCCGUCAGUGGCUAAGUGAGGUCACAUCCCACCAGUGGCUAAGUGAGGUCACAUCCCACCAGUGGCUAAGUGAGGUCACAUCCCACCAGUGGCUAAGUGAGGUCAUAUCCCGUCAGUGGCUAAGUGAGGUCACAUCCCACCAGUGGCUAAGUGAGGUCACAUCCCACCAGUGGCUAAGUGAGGUCACAUCCCGCCAGUGGCUAAGUGAGGUCACA